rnacentral:tRNA from 1 species
AGCCCCGUCGUCUAGCGGCCAAGGACACCGGGCUUUGGACCCGGUAACGGCGGUUCAAAUCCGCUCGGGGCUA